CACAAGGUUUUCUUUUGUUUAGUUGUACUAGCAAUUUAGACAUGUCAUUCAUAGAAGUUUUAAUUCAAGAAGAUGAUGAAGAAGAAGCUCAAGAAAAGAGGAUGAAUAUAUAUGGCUUCAAUAAAUCAGAUCACCGGAGUACCAAAUUAAGAAAUUUGAGAAGAUAAUGAGAGCAACACAAGGUGCUCUUAUUGUGGCUAGCUUCAACCGUCCAGAUUGUCGUUGGCUUCGGUGGUCUUUGGCGCAAUAUAUUGAGGUUGAUUGAACCUUUAUACUUUGAGCUACUUCAUUGGUUUUUUUCCCUGUUGAGUUUUACAGACAUAUUGUGCCAUUUUCUUUGUCAGAUUAUCUAUGCAAUUAAGUAAUUCUUCUACUUGCAUAUGCUUGUCAAGAGAUGUCAUACUUCAAUAGUGAAUUCAUAUUAUAUAUAUUUGAAGUUAUAUAUUUGUUUUGUUGGUUGGCCGAAAAAAUACAUUUGUUUUCUGCCUCCUGGUUACUAAUCUGGUUUCUAUUUCCUUGGGUUCUUAAGUCCUCUCUCUGCUAUUUCCUUGAUUGCUCUAUCAGGCUUUGGCCAGUAUGAGUUGGAGUUCUAGUUCCUUUUUCACACGCCUUGAAAUAUUUAAGACCUUUAUAAUACCUAUUGAAUUUCUGUGUUUAUUGGUAAUGCUGCAUAUACCUAUUUAUUUUGUUAUUGUUAACUUGGUUAGAGAGUAAAAUGAUAUUACUGGUAUGAUUGUCCCAUGUUACUAUUUGUGCCAUAUAUUUAACUCUAAAAAAAAUUUACAUCUCUUUAUUUUGGCAAUACUACAAAUAAUUUGUAUCAUUUGACCUUGUUCAAAUUAUCCGUGUCACCCAUAAAUGAACUAAGAAAGUAUCCUUUGGAAUGAGUGUCCCAAGUGUGUAAUCCGUAGUCCUAUUCAUUCUCAUAUCAUAAAUGUUGAUGCUAGUCUCAUCCUUUUAUAUAUCGUACGGUUUCAUCAUUCAUUUCUAUUAAUCCUUAGUUAGCAAGAAUUGUUAUACAUUUAAAUAAAUUAAAUAUCUCUUUUAUUUUAUGACUAUUGAAUUUUAUUUUUUUAAUUUUUUUCAUUUAUUUUAGGGGUGCUUUUCUGGGUUGGAAAUCCUACAACCUAUAAAAAAACCUUUAUUUUUUUUAAAAAAAAAUAGUAUGCUUUACAUUGGUUAUCACUGCAUUCGAUGUCGAAUAUGGUACUUUCAACAUUGAUUGCACGUGUUAACCGAUAUUGAAAGUUAUUAAUUUUUUAAAAAAUUCAUACAAUUAGUAGCUUCUAAUAGUUGUUUUGGAAUUGUUGUUUAAGGAUUUUUAUAACAGCGCUCAUUUGAUCAUUAAAAGUCACUUACUUUUAAUAUCCCUAUAAUAACAAUGAUUUUUUAAUUGCUGUCAAUACUAUUUUUUACUGUUAAAGGUCUAUCUUGUAGCAGUGCGUGUCUCCAUUGAUUUCAGAAUUAUUAUUUUGUACCUGGUUUUUUCUGGAUUUCUCCCUGAUAAGUUUGAUGUUGUGGGUUUAGGUGCAAGCAUUUUAUCAAAAGGAUUAGCUGUUAGAGCCAAGAAUAGAUUGACUCAACUCAUUGAUUUCUGAAACAAUGUGCCGAUGCUGGGAAUGUUGAAGCUUGCUAUAUUUUGGGCAAGGGUUCAACAGACAAGAGCCAGAGGAAGAAGCAUUCAGAGGCUGAAACAUGAAGCAGUACAAGGCAAUAAGCCCUGAGACCAUACUUGUUGCAGAAACUUUAAGAGCCAUAUUUAAUCUGUAUAUGUCUGAUGAUGAUAUAUGUAUUAUCAAUGAAUGAGGGGUUUAGUGUGUAUAUAUGCUAGUAAAUUAAACCCAACACCAAGCUUGUAACAAUGAUUGAAGAAGAAGAAGAAAGCUUGGGAGGUGGGCCUGUGGUGUUGGAAUAUAGAUCUCACACACGCACACACACGCACACACAAACACACACACGUAUGUGAAGUAGCAGCUCCAUCUAGAAGACUGUUGGGCCUGGGGAGCAUCUCGGAAGGGUAGUGUAUUUUCAGUCCUUCUAUCUUUGUAAGUGUUUGAUGCUGUGGUAGCGUAUUUAUACA